rnacentral:rRNA from 1 species
GAUGAACGCUGGCGGCGUGCCUAAUACAUGCAAGUCGAGCGAACAGACGAGGAGCUUGCUCCUCUGACGUUAGCGGCGGACGGGUGAGUAACACGUGGAUAACCUACCUAUAAGACUGGGAUAACUUCGGGAAACCGGAGCUAAUACCGGAUAAUAUAUUGAACCGCAUGGUUCAAUAGUGAAAGACGGUUUUGCUGUCACUUAUAGAUGGAUCCGCGCCGCAUUAGCUAGUUGGUAAGGUAACGGCUUACCAAGGCAACGAUGCGUAGCCGACCUGAGAGGGGGGAUCGCCCACACGGAACCGGAGACACGGCCCAGCCCCCGAGGGGGGGACGAAGGGGGAAUUGUGCCGCAUGGGGGAAAAGCUGAAGGGAGCACCGCGGGGGGAGUGAGAAGGUUUUUGGUAUCGAAAAACGUUUUUAUGGGGAAAAAAAAAAUGGGUAGGAAAUUAGCCCUGUUUGAACGGUACCAAACAAGAAGCCACCGGCAAACUCCGU